rnacentral:rRNA from 1 species
AGGUAACGUCAAGACUCACGGUUAUUAACCGUAGGCUUUUCUUCUCUACUGAAAGUGCUUUACAACCCGCAGGCCUUCUUCACACACGCGGCAUUGCUGGAUCAGGCUUGCGCCCAUUGUCCAAUAUUCCCCA